GUUGAACGCUGGCGGCAGGCCUAACACAUGCAAGUCGAACGAUUGGCGGACGGGUGAGUAAUGUCUGGGAAACUGCCCGUUGGAGGGGGAUAACUACUGGAAACGGUAGCUAAUACCGCAUACCAUCGGAUGUGCCCAGAUGGGAUUAGCUAGUAGUGGGGGUAACGGCUCACCUAGGCGACGAUCCCUAGCGGGUCUGAGAGGAUGACCGGCAACACGGGAACUGAGACACGGUCCAGAGCCCAACGGGAGGCAGCAGUGGGAAAUAUUGCACAAUGGGCGCAAGCCGGAUGCAGACAGGCCGCGUGUAUGAAGAAGGCCUUCGGGUUGUAAAGUACUUUCAGCGAGGAGGCGUUACCCGCAGAAGAAGCACCGGCUAACUCCGUGCCAGCAGCCGCGGUAAUUC
rnacentral:rRNA from 1 species